UACGGAGGGGGCUAGCGUUGUUCGGAAUUACUGGGCGUAAAGCGCGCGUAGGCGGCUUUGUAAGUUAGAGGUGAAAGCCCGGAGCUCAACUCCGGAAUUGCCUUUAAGACUGCAUCGCUAGAAUCAUGGGGAGGUGAGUGGAAUUCCGAGUGUAGAGGUGAAAUUCGUAGAUAUUAGGAAGAACACCGGUGGCGAAGGCGGCCCACUGGAUCGGCACUGACGCUGAGGUGCGAAAGCGUGGGGAGCAAACAGG
rnacentral:rRNA from 1 species